rnacentral:rRNA from 1 species
GGAGCAUGUGGUUUAAUUCGAAGCAACGCGAAGAACCUUACCAGGUCUUGACAUCCCGAUGCUAUUUCUAGAGAUAGAAGUUACUUCGGUACAUCGGUGACAGGUGGUGCAUGGUUGUCGUCAGCUCGUGUCGUGAGAUGUUGGGUUAAGUCCCGCAACGAGCGCAACCCCUAUUGUUAGUUGCCAUCAUUCAGUUGGGCACUCUAGCGAGACUGCCGGUAAUAAACCGGAGGAAGGUGGGGAUGACGUCAAAUCAUCAUGCCCCUUAUGACCUGGGCUACACACGUGCUACAAUGGUUGGUACAACGAGUUGCGAGUCGGUGACGGCGAGCUAAUCUCUUAAAGCCAAUCUCAGUUCGGAUUGUAGGCUGCAACUCGCCUACAUGAAGUCGGAAUCGCUAGUAAUCGCAGAUCAGCAACGCUGCGGUGAAUACGUUCCCGGGCCUU